rnacentral:rRNA from 1 species
GUAUAAGAGACAGCAGAAGCCGCGGUAAAACGUAGGGUGCAAGCGUUAAUCGGAAUUACUGGGCGUAAAGCGUGCGCAGGCGGUUAUAUAAGUCAGAUGUGAAAUCCCCGUGCUCAACCUGGGAACUGCAUUUGAGACUGUAUGGCUAGAGUGUGUCAGAGGGGGGUAGAAUUCCACGUGUAGCAGUGAAAUGCGUAGAUAUGUGGAGGAAUACCGAUGGCGAAGGCAGCCCCCUGGGAUAACACUGACGCUCAUGCACGAAAGCGUGGGGAGCAAACAGGAUUAGAUACCCCAGUAGUCCCUGUCUCUUAUAC